UUCAGGGUUGGACUAGCUCACCGGACAUCUCAGUUUAAAAACGUUGGGCCUCCUUGUUCAAAAGUUGUAUUCAAUGAUUCAGAUGAACCGACAGACAUACAGGCUGACAUUACUGGACUGGACAAUUUUCAUCCUGUUAAUUCAAUAGAAAUAUUAAACAUUCCAAAGAAUAACUACAGUGAUCCGAUCAGCCUAAUACGCCGGCAAAGAUAACAGAUAUGGACAUAGGUUUUAAGUACUCAUGAGCUCGACAAAACAAAAAAAACUCCCCG